GUGGAAUUUAUUUAUCCUGAAAGUGUGGGAUGCAGAGAAAAGUAAUCGUAUGCGUGUUUUCAUUGGAGGUCCAUGGCUGAUUUGGGCAGUGGUUUCAGGAAGCUUUUUUAUUACUGCUCAAUAAGAGGUACAUUUUGUGAAGCAGGAUGUUUUGUCUUGCCAGACUAGCUGGUUGGCUAACAUAUUGGCUGGACACAGAAUUACCAGUCCUCCUUCUAAAAUGUUAUAAAUCUGCAUUUAUCUAUCCUGUGGAUUACCAAAUAUUUUUAUUUAAUCACUUUAUUUCAGCAAGAAUGAAUAUCAGGUGCGUACUGUAAUACUGUUAAAUUGUGGGGCUAGAUUACGGAUGAUAUGGGAUCACUUGAUGUAUAUCUGUGUGUGUGUGUGUGUGUGUGUGUGUGUGUGUGUGUGUGUGUGUGUGUGUGUGUGUGUGUGGGAGAGAGAGAGAGAGAGGGGGUGGGGGGUGGGGUGGGAGUGUGUGUGUGUGUGUGUGUGUGUGUGUGUGUGUGGGGGUGGGAGAGAUAGAGAGUGUGUAUGAUUACAGAGAGUGUGAGUGUGUCUCUCACUGUUUGUAUGAGUGUACAAAAAAUAAACUUUAUAAGAAGAGGUGUUGGUCAGUAAAUCUGUUUUAGAGUAGAUUGGAGACGCUAGACUCCAACCCUAACCCCUAAACUUGUCGUAGGUGGAUUGUCUACAGUAAACUGCCCCUCCGUGUUGAUUAGUGUGCAUGGACUCACAUCCAUGGUGUGUUCCAUCUGAGAUUCCCAGAUCCAGAUUCACAGUGACCCUAUACAGGAUAAAGUGAAUACUGAAGGUGACCAAGAAAACAAUAACAGUGUUUCUAGACAAUCGUGGGUGUCUGUGAACUGCCUUUUUUUUUUCCUCAGAUGUAUUCCUGAUGGAGCUUUACACACUCCUCUCAAUCACCAUCAUGUUCUAAAUGAGCACUGCUUGAAAUUAGACUACUUUCCAAAACAAUUGCACACUAUAUAUUUUGAUCAGGAACUACAUUUAUACAUGUGCAUUAACUUCACUGCUUACAGUUGUAUUAUAAUACAUUUCAACCAUAACCUUUACAUGAAAAUUUCAUUAGACAGUGAAAAUAUACACUCACCAUCUACUUUAAUAGGAACACCUGUACACCUGCUCAUUUAUGGAGUUAUCCAGUCAGCGAUCAUGUGGCAGCAUCACCAUGCAUACAAUCAUACAGUCAUCGGUCAAGAGCUUCACUUAAUUACAGAUACAUUUAUAUAGCGCUUUUCUAGACACUCAAGACGCUUUACAUAGUACUGGGGAGGGGGGUGGAAUCUCCUCAACCACCACUAAUGUGUAGCAUCCACCUGGAUGAUGCGAUGGCAGCCAUAGUGGGCCAUAAAUCCUACCGCACACCAGCUAUUUUAGUGAAGAGGAGAGAGUGAUGUAGCCAAUUCAGAGAUGGGGAUUAUAGGGGGCCAAUGGGGGAAUUUCACCAGGACACCUGGUGUUAUACCCCUAUUCUUUAUGCAAAGUGUCCUGGGAUUUUUGAUGACCACAGAGAGUCAGGACCUCCGUUUAAGGUCUCAUCCAAAAGUAAAUGCUGUUUUUUUUUUUUUACAAUAUAGUGUCCCUGUCGCUAUUCUGGGGUAUUAGGACCCUGGGGUCCACAGGGCGAGCACCCCCUGCAGUCCUCACUAACACCACUUCCAGCAGCAACUUUAAAUUUCCCCAGGAGGUCUCCUAUCCAG
ensembl:lncRNA